rfam:Ixodes scapularis strain Wikel colony gcontig_1107728547000, whole genome shotgun sequence.
GCCAGGAUGGUCUAAUCGGUUAAGGCGACACCCCAGGUAGGCGAAAGUUGCGGGUUCGAUCUCCGCUCCUGGCC